UGAAGUUGCAUCUGACUGGUUAUACUUAUUUUUCAGUGUUUUUGUGGAGAGAUGAUAGUUAAAUCUGGCCAUUCCAUUUUGCUGAGGUCAUCCUAUCUCUAAAUAUGCCUCCCUAAUCCUAAUACAGGAGAUUGCAAGAGGACAACUCGGCUCUAAAAUCGAUGCAUUAACAUGUCAUUGGAAUUGACCUUGCCAAAAGAUGCCUCCCUAAAUCCACAAGAAUCUCCUUGUUUGAACACAGUUUCUAAUCCAGCUGUAAUGAAGACAGACAACAGUCAAAUUAACAACUGAUCAGGAGGAGAAGUUCAUACUCCUUGAGCUGGAUCUAUCUGCACAUGCACCUGGCCCAGGAAGCUGAAAUGGGAGAUCUGAUGAGCAGUGGAGGACUGAACCAAAGCCCUUGGCUUUUGCUCCAUACCAGUCAGCCGUUCUGGACAUACACAUGGGCAGAAGAUGUAGCCGCCUUGUGUGAAAAUUUGAGAGCUCUCUACUCCAUCUUCCGCUAGUAUAACCCUCAUUGGCUGGAAUCAUAAUGGUAUCUGCAUCUGGAACUGGCCACUAGUAUAACACCUACAAAAUGCACAACGGCCUUCAGACCAUAUGAAAAGUCUACAGGGUGAGAAUCUGAAAAUCCAGCAAUGAGGAGAAAAAAGUUAUCUCCCAUUAAGAACACUUUCCAGAAGCUACACAAUUCCAGUUAUUGAUUCAUCCCAUUUACUAGAACCUGUUCAUCUGGCUAUGCCCAAAACCAAGGGAAACUGAAAUAGUGGUUACCAUAUUCUGUAACUCAGCCUAGCCUAGCUUCAGAAGUUUUAAUAAAGAAA
rnacentral:lncRNA from 1 species